UACGGAGGAUGCGAGCGUUAUCCGGAUUUAUUGGGUUUAAAGGGUGCGCAGGUUGUUUGAUAAGUCAGUGGUGAAAGUCUGUCGCUUAACGGUAGGAUUGCCAUUGAUACUGUUAGACUUGAAUAUGGAUGAGGUAGGCAGAAUGUGUAGUGUAGCGGUGAAAUGCAUAGAUAUUACACAGAACACCGAUUGCGAAGGCAGCUUACUAAUCCAUCAUUGACGCUGAGGCACGAAAGCGUGGGGAUCAAACA
rnacentral:rRNA from 1 species